UACUCUAGAGAUCAGGGCCUGAAAUUUUCAUCUCCGACAUGAAGCUUGGUUAGCUAAGGCUGAAGGAGGUAAGGAGCUUUAUGCAAAGUCCAGGGGAGUGCGAUUCCAAAUGCUUUAUUCUUUACAUUGUGCCACAUUCCCCACUGUUUUACUUUUUUUGGACCAUCUGGCACAAGCCCCACCCUUUGGUUUCCUUCCUGCCCUUCCGAGUCAGUUCACAGUUCCUAAAGCCCAGCGGGAAUGCAGAUGGGCUUGUGUCUGAGUAGGGCAGCGGGAAGGACCCUGUAUGGAGCCUGGCUGGCUCCUUGAUGGGCUGUGAACCCUACGCCCUCCAGGGCCCAUGUGUAUCUGCAUUACUUCCCCUGCAGUCUUCUCUAGUGAUCACACUCGACAAGAAAGAAAAAUAAACUUGGCCUGGAGUCAGCCCAUCCUGAUUCUUGGGUGGGCCUGAGAGCUGUGGGGUCAAGUCACUUUGCUCAGGGCCCCAGUGACAACAGCCUGCUCUUUGAAGUGGGCCCAGGAGAAGGGUGUGCUGGGUGAGUGUCAUGGCUGCAGCAGCUGCCAAGCUGCUUAAGCCCCAGGCUGGCCUAUGGUGGCCUCACCGUCGAAUUAAGUCCCAUUUUGCAACAUUUACUGACUCACUGUGACAUAAUGCUGGCUUUGGAACCUGUAACCUUCUAGCUGAGACUUUGUGCUCCUAGGAAAGCCCUGAGCUCUUUGAGCCUCUGUUUCAAUCACCACUAAUGUCCUCAUGGUUGGGUUGCUGGUGAGCAACUGGGAAUGAGCGACAAGAAGUUUUCAGUGCUGAGCUUCUCAAUUCACUCUGCUGUGAAUUCAGUGCACCUGGGGCGGGGCAGGGUGGUGGUGGCUUGCAAACCCCAAUGCGCAGGCUACACUCUCGAUCAAUUAAGUCAGGCUACCUGGGCUGGGGCCCAGGAACCAGCACUUAAAAAACAACCAACCAACCACCCUGAGCUUCCAAGUGUAGUCACUUCUGAGAACCAGAGAGCAAGUGGCAAGGCCCACCCCAUACAUAGUCGUCACUCAGCAAAUGCUCACGGCCGCCUCCUCCUCCCUAAAAUCUAAAGACAACAUAAAUCUCCAAAGGCUUUGAAGAAACCUCUGGAACUUUAAGCCAAACAGCCAAGGUCACAUCAACCUCAGCUGCCUUAAGGGAAAGAUUCCAGCAGAAGAGAAUGAGAAAAAGAAUCUCCUAAGAAUCAAAACUAAUUUACAACUUCUGCCAGACACCCCGAGAGGGACUUUAACAAAUCCGGCGCCCCAUCCUUGAGAAAGGUUUUACUUUCUUUGGCUGGAGAGCAACGUCUGCGGGAAGUCAACAAUCCCGAGACGAGGGAGACAGCCAGGCAGAAGACAAACAAAACUGACACCGAGCAAAAAUGCAAAGGUAUUCAAAACGCGAGCUCUAAUGUGCUCUCCCCUGCCUGAAGCCUGCCAGACACAGGGCUUUGAGAAAGAAAGAAAGAAAGAAAACAAUCUGAUUUGUAUGAAAGGGGCCAAAAAUAACCUUGCAUUCUCCUGCAGAAGAAAACAGAAAACUCGGCGGUUUCCUCCUAUUUGGAUGUUCUUUUCCUUGGGUUGCGGUCAGCAGGGUGAACCUCUUAGCUCAAGACCUGCAAAGAGACAACAGGCCAAGACACUCAGGCAGGAGGGGGACAAUGGGAAUCCGGCUGAGAAGGGGGCUCUUAGAGUCUGAUUUAAAGCCCUGGUUUCUCCAGGGGCAAGUGUGGCUGGAGGUGGGGGAAAAAGGCCUUCAUUUGCAUAUGUUAAUUUAAAGCUAUUUUUAAUCAGUAAUAGGCCUGUUUUUUCAGCCUUCUAAAAAAAAAUUACAAUGUGUCCCUACUUUCCAUCCCUAUUUCCUCUGUACCGCUUCUGAUUUGUUUUGGUAGAAGCCUAAUCCCUGUUGCUUCCAGGCUAUUCCUUUCUGCCCUACAUUUUCUAAAAUACAACUGUGAUGUCCAUCCUUGCUUCAAAGCUUCCAGUGAUGUCUCAUCAACCACAGAGAGCCAUCUAUAUCAGGUCCCAAGCUUAUUUUAUCCCUGUCUCCCUCUAACCUCUGCCAGCUCCCUGAGUAGUCCAUGCUUUCCCGACUCUUGCUUCCCUAGGUUAAUAAAUCUUGUUCACUCCUC